GACGAACGCUGGCGGCGUGCUUAACACAUGCAAGUCGAACGGAAAGGCCCUGCUUGCAGGGUGCUCGAGUGGCGAACGGGUGAGUAACACGUGGGUGAUCUGCCCCUUACUUUGGGAUAAGCCUGGGAAACUGAGUCUAAUACUGGAUAGGACCAUGCUGUAGGUGGUGUGGUGGAAAGAUUAGUUUCGGUAAGGGAUGAGCUCGCGGCCUAUCAGCUUGUUGGUGGGGUAAUGGCCUACCAAGGCGUCGACGGGUAGCCGGCCUGAGAGGGUGGACGGCCACAUUGGGACUGAGAUACGGCCCAGACUCCUACGGGAGGCAGCAGAGGGGAAUAUUGCACAAUGGGCGCAAGCCUGAUGCAGCGACGCCGCGUGGGGGAUGACGGCCUUCGGGUUGUAAACUCCUUUCAGCCAUGACGAAGCCCUUGUGGUGACGGUAGUGGUAGAAGAAGCACCGGCUAACUACGUG
rnacentral:rRNA from 1 species